AGAAGUCGCUGGGCUAACCCACUUUGUGGGGGGCAGGCGCCUAAGGUACGGUCGGUAAUUGGGGUGAAGUCGUAACAAGGUAGCCGUAGGUGAACCUGCAGAAGGAUCA
rnacentral:rRNA from 1 species